rnacentral:lncRNA from 1 species
GGAGGGUGAAUGAAGCGAGGAGGAGGCGGCGGCGGCGGGGGAGGCGGCGCUGGCGCUGGGAUGUGCCCGGCAGCAGCCCCGCUUCUCUUCACUCAGGGCCCAGGCCGGCUGCAGACGCCACCCGUCACAUUGCAGGCCAAGCCAGAUGGGCAAGCAAUACAAGCUGUGAAUUUAUUCUUGACCCCGUAG